rnacentral:snRNA from 1 species
AUACUUACUUGGCAGGGGAGAUACCAUGAUCACAAAGGUGGUUUUCCCAGGGCGAGGCUCACCCAUUGCACUCCGGAUGUGCUGACCCCUGCGAUUUCCCCAAAUGCGGGAAACUCGACUGCAUAAUUUGUGGUAGUGGGGGCUGCGUUCACUCUCUUCCCUA